UGGGGUGUGGUGCAAGGUGCACGGCAGCUACGCUUAACUUAUCAGAGGUGAAAUAUUCAAAGCUGUUAUUUGGGGUUCGAAUCCCCACUCCCGAA